AGUCAUAUGCUCGUNUCAAAGAUUAAACCCAUGCAUGUCUAAGUAUAAAACUGCUUAUACUGCGAAACUGCGAAUGGCUCAUUAAAUCAGUACUAAUUUAUUUGAUGGUUGCCUUGCUACUCGGAUAGCCGUAGUAACAUAGAGCUAAUACGUGCGUAAACCCCGACUUCGCGGAAGGGGCGUAUUUAUUAGAUAAAAGACCGACCGGGCUUGCCCGAUCCGCGGUGAUUCAUGAUAACUCGACGAAUCGUACGGCCUCGAGCCGACGAUGUUUCAUUCAAAUUUCUGCCCUCAUCAACUUUCGAUGGUAGGAUAGAGGCCUACCAUGGUUUUGACGGGUGACGGAGGAUUAGGGUUCGAUUCCGGAGAGGGAGCCUGAGAAACGGCUACCACAUCCAAGGAAGGCAGCAGGCGCGCAAAUUACCCAAUCCCGACACGGGGAGGUAGUGACAAGAAAUAACAAUACCGGGCUUUAUCAAGUCUGGUAAUUGGAAUGAGUACAAUUCAAAAUCCUUAACGAGGAUCAAUUGGAGGGCAAGUCUGGUGAACUUCGACAGUUCCUUUUGCUGUUGACGCCAGAGGUAGUCGAUAGAGACUAGUCGAUGCAGCCGAUUGAUGAUCGGGUGGCUGCCGGCAAGACGACCUGGAACGGGGAAGGCCUUCGAUGGGCAGCGAUGGUGCUCACGGCUGAUCCCGUGGCGAGCUGGCGGAGAGCGAUCUCCGUCGAGCCGUCGUAACGCACGCUAAGGCGUCGGUGGACUCUCGAUAGAGAGUCCGCUUAAGGGACGUGCUAAUCCCAGCCGAUGAGAAAGGCUGCUCGCUUGACUAGGUCCUGAUCACCGAAGCUAGCGAGGGGGCGACCGGUCAAGCGACCGAUCGUCCCGGUACCAAUGGCCAGCAGCCGCGGUAAUUCCAGCUCCAAUAGCGUAUAUUUAAGUUGUUGCAGUUAAAAAGCUCGUAGUCGGAUUUCGGACGGGGCUGACCGGUCCACCUCUCGGUGCGCACUGGUCGUGCCGCGUCUCGCUGUCGGGGACGGGCUGCUGGGCUUCAUUGUCCGGCACCCGGAGUCGACGACGUCACUUUGAGUAAAUUAGAGUGUUCAAAGCAGGCCUACGCUCUGAAUACGUUAGCAUGGAAUGACACGAUAGGACUCUGGCUUAUCCUGUCGGUCUGUGAGACCGGAGUAAUGAUUAACAGGGACGGUCGGGGGCGCUCGUAUUUCGUUGUCAGAGGUGAAAUUCUUGGAUUUACGAAAGACGAACUUCUGCGAAAGCAUUCGUCAAGGAUGUUUUCAUUGAUCAAGAACGAAAGUUGGGGGCUUGAAGAGGAUUAGAUACCCUCCUAAUCUCAUACCAUAAACGAUGCCGACUAGGGAUCGGCGGGUGUCCAAUCAAUGACCCCGCCGGCACCUCACGAGAAAUCAAAGUCUUUGGGUUCCGGGGGGAGUAUGGUCGCAAGGCUGAAACUUAAAGGAAUUGACGGAAGAGCACCACCAGUUGUGGAACUUGCGGCUUAAUUUGACUCAACACGGGAAAACUUACCAGGUCCAGACAUAGUGAGGAUUGACAGAUUGAAAGCUCUUUCUUGAUUCUGUGGGUGGUGGUGCAUGGCCGUUCUUAGUUGGUGGGUUGCCUUGUCAGGUUGAUUCCGGUAACGAACGAGACCUCAGCCUGCUAAAUAGUCACGUUCGGCCUUGGCCGGGCGCUGCGCUUCUUAGAGGGACUAUCGGCGACUAGCCGAUGGAAGUGUGAGGCAAUAACAGGUCUGUGAUGCCCUUAGAUGUUCUGGGCCGCACGCGUGUUACACUGACGCAAUCAACAAGCCCAGCCUUGACCGAGAGGUCCGGGUAAUCUUGUAAAGUGCGUCGUGAUGGGGCUAGACUCUUGCAAUUAUUAGUCUUCAACGAGGAAUAUCUAGUAAGCGCAAGUCAUCAGCUUGCGUUGAUUACGUCCCUGCUCUUUGUACACACCGCCCGUCGCUCCUACCGAUUGGAUGUGCUGGUGAAGCGUUCGGAUUGGUCGCAUCCGGUGGUUCUCCGCCGUUCGCAGCCGAGAAGUUCGUUAAACCCUCCCAUCUAGAGGAAGGAGAAGUCGUAACAAGGUCUCCGUAGGUGAACCUGCGGAGG
rnacentral:rRNA from 1 species